AGAGUUUGAUCCUGGCUCAGAUUGAACGCUGGCGGCAGGCCUAACACAUGCAAGUCGAGCGAGAAAGCGCCUUCGGGUGCGAGUAGAGCGGCGGACGGGUGAGUAACGCGUAGGAAUCUACCUGGUAGUGGGGGACAACAGUCGGAAACGGCUGCUAAUACCGCAUACGCCCCAUGGGGGAAAGCGGGGGAUCUUCGGACCUCGCGCUAUCAGAUGAGCCUGCGUAGGAUUAGCUAGUUGGUGGGGUAAAGGCCUACCAAGGCGACGAUCCUUAGCUGGUCUGAGAGGAUGAUCAGUCACACUGGAACUGAGACACGGUCCAGACUCCUACGGGAGGCAGCAGCGGGGAAUAUUGCGCAAUGGGCGAAAGCCUGACGCAGCCAUGCCGCGUGUGUGAAGAAGGCCCUAGGGUUGUAAAGCACUUUCAAUUGGGAAGAAAAGCUGCAGGUUAAUAACCUGUAGCCCUGACAUUACCUUUAGAAGAAGCACCGGCUAACUCCGUGCCAGCAGCCGCGGUAAUACGGAGGGUGCGAGCGUUAAUCGGAAUUACUGGGCGUAAAGCGCGCGUAGGCGGUUUGUUAAGUCAGCUGUGAAAGCCCCGGGCUCAACCUGGGAACUGCAGUUGAUACUGGCAGACUUGAGUAUGAAAGAGGGAGGUAGAAUUCCAUGUGUAGCGGUGAAAUGCGUAGAUAUAUGGAGGAAUACCAGUGGCGAAGGCGGCCUCCUGGUUCAAUACUGACGCUGANGUGCGAAAGCGAGGGGAGCAAACAGGAUUAGAUACCCUGGUAGUCCACGCCGUAAACGGUGGGUACUAGGUGUGGGGUCCAUUCCACGG
rnacentral:rRNA from 1 species